rnacentral:rRNA from 1 species
CACGUAGGGUGCGAGCGUUGUCCGGAAUUAUUGGGCGUAAAGAGCUCGUAGGUGGUUUGUCGCGUUGUCCGUGAAAACUCACAACUCAAUUGUGGGCGUGCGGGCGAUACGGGCAGACUGGAGUACUGCAGGGGAGACUGGAAUUCCUGGUGUAGCGGUGGAAUGCGCAGAUAUCAGGAGGAACACCGGUGGCGAAGGCGGGUCUCUGGGCCGUAACUGACGCUGAGGAGCGAAAGCGUGGGGAGCGAACAGG